AUGAACGCUGGCGGCGUGCUUAACACCUGCAAGUCGAACGAAACACCUUAUUUGAUUUUCUUCGGAACUGAAGAUUUGGUGAUUGAGUGGCGGACGGGUGAGUAACGCGUGGGUAACCUGCCCUGUACAGGGGGAUAACAGUCAGAAAUGACUGCUAAUACCGCAUAAGACCACAGCACCGCAUGGUGCAGGGGUAAAAACUCCGGUGGUACAGGAUGGACCCGCGUCUGAUUAGCUGGUUGGUGAGGUAACGGCUCACCAAGGCGACGAUCAGUAGCCGGCUUGAGAGAGUGAACGGCAACAUUGGGACUGAGACACGGCCCAAACUCCUACGGGAGGCAGCAGUGGGGAAUAUUGCACAAUGGGGGAAAACCUGAUGCAGCGACGCCGCGUGAGUGAAGAAGUAUUUCGGUAUGUAAAGCUCUAUCAGCAGGGAAGAAAAUGACGGUACCUGACUAAGAAGCCCCGGCUAACUACGUG
rnacentral:rRNA from 1 species